GGCCGUAGCAGGUGAGUUGUCAUGACGUACCUGUAACCAAGCGCGCCAGUGGUUAAAAGUCAUUGCUGAUCAGGGGAGAGGCAGAGCUAGGAACUUUGGAGGCGCACAUACCGACAAGACACAGUCAUGGCAAACAACACCAACAGAACGUUACUAAGUGUGCUCCUGCUGGAACUGUUUCUGUUGUGUUUAUCACAUGUAAAUGCAGAUCUGUCCAUGAAUAAUGAUGCAGCGCGCGUCUUACACAACAAACUGUCCAAGCGUUCCCCAUUAGGUCCCAGCAGCCACACCUUUUGGAAGCGAGCAUGGGAAGGCCUCGGCCAGAACCUUUGUUGCAAAAUGGCUGAAUCCGGCUGCUGCAAAAAAGCCAAGCGAAGCGAAUUAGGCGAAGUCGAGGACGAGGAAAGCGCGAACAAAAUCAGAGAAGAAGUAGUCCGGACACAAACACAGAGCGUUGCUUGCAAAUGCUGCAUACAUACAGAAAUCUUCAACUGUUGCGAAAUGUGCAAGAUGAGAUAACUAAACUCAGUGAAACUAUUUACAACUUUCUCAAUAGGUGGCGCUUCCGCCGUGUUCGCGCGGCCGCUCUGAUAUGGCGUUGUAUUACUUAGAACAGCAUGAUACCUACUCCCUUUGACAUCACUAACUUUUCAGGAACUUCCAUUGAAUUGACAGGCAUCUGAAAAAGGCCAACAGUCUCUACCAUAACCCGCCGAAAACCAUAACAAUUUACGCCAAACAGAAGAGUAUAAGUUACUUUCUCAUCGGACAUCUCUUUGAAAACCAUGAAAAAUGUCAAUGACAACUGCAUGGCAACAUUUUAUGAUUUAAUUUUUUUUUAAAUAGGCAGAUUUCGCGACUCUUAUGAAGGAAGAAGUGCGAAGUAUCAAAAUGUCAUUCUUUAUCGACGAUUUUAUAUAUCAUUUAUCCACUUUCCCUUAUACUGUACAACUAUGAACAGAAGAUGAUUUACGAGUGCCGUGUAAAGGAAUCAGCCCAGGACUUCUUGACAUUUUUGUACUUCGUCGUUCCUAUAUAUGGGUUGCUAAACAUGCCUAAUGUUCUUAAUACGACGACGAAAGCAUGUCCAAAUAACAUCAUGACAUAUCAUCCGACGACUAUAAAGGCAUUGCUCUUUUUGCGUCAAGUUUCAAAUCGGGGGUUACAGCACGCAGUCGUACAUUUUGCGGAACCAGACUCUUUUGAACCAGCACGAAAGAUCACUUGUUAAAACUUUGGACUCGUACACCCCAUGAUUCCAUAUCAAAAUUGUGCAAUGCAGAACGAAACGAGAGUGUUACACUAAGCUUUGAAAAUCACACAAGCUGAAAACUUUUCAGGCAAUUCGCUGAACAAGUUAAAAUCUUCUUCACGAUGGUCUCUUAUAGGUAUACGCCAAACUUUCUCCGGAUUAAAUUAGCUCUAAUUAUCACCUGCAUCGGUAUCUCGCUUCGAGAAAUGGUUUGUUGGGUAAAAUAUGGCGCUUUUCAAUAAAACUGUUAUACCUAAAUUUAAUCCCUUUUAUGGUAACAUGCAGAAUCAUGAUCAUGUAAAGCCUGAAGCUGUUUGAACAGCUUAAUUCUUUCGAUAUUCCCUUGACUUACACUCCCAAAGCAGUGUAGAAGCAGUGUAGACGCUCAAACGCAAAUCUAUAUUAUCCUGAUAACCGAGAGAGAAGAGCCUCUCCUAUGCUUAUGAAGAGGUACCGAAAACACCAGGGCAUUGCAAGUACAAUGUGCAGCAGGGGUCCUAUAGCGCAGCGGCGAGUUCAAGCAAUUCAGGCAUGCGGCAGCGGCAGCAGCAGCAGCUAUAAUGUCAAGGGCAGCGACAGCGAUGAAGCAAAGCAGCGAUACGGUGCGGUAAAAAUGGCAGCGCCCAUGUCAAGAGAUUCAGUUGACGAAGAGGUAGAAGACACAGACAUAUCGCGCAACAAACGGGCAUUCCAGGCAGGCGCAUGGAACGAAGUGCCCGACCCACACAAAAAAAGGCAAUACGAAGGAAUCUUCAUUACUGACGGUUCUCAGAAGCGAAGCUGGGACGCUCUCGGGAUCCCAGACAAGCGCAGCUGGGACGCACUCGGCAUCCCCGACAGGAGGAGCUGGGACGCACUAGGAAUCCCCGACAGGCGCAGUAUGGGACUGAAUGAAAAGGACGUCAAGGCUUUGGCGUCUUUCAUCGCCAGUCGCAAUAACAGACGACAGUAGACCUCACUGCAUGGACUUUCGACAAACUUCUGCCCUUCUGCAAAGGUUGUACACUGAUGUAAAAACAUAUUUUCUGGGGACGGGAACAUCAUCAAAUCAGAACUGGUACGAUCAAACUGCACAUCAGUAAUCGUUUCCCGGCGAUGUCUGCAACUCUGAUGUAACUAGGCCGGAUUAAUAUAGUGUUUACGUUUUCACAUGUAAUGUGUUACUUUUUACUCGUCUUUCGUGACAUGAGUAUAGCGAACAAGCCAUUUUCGGGCUAGAUACGAUUUACGCCUUCGGUUUUCACUAUCAGGUUGACACAUGAUGUUUUAAAACCUUGGAGUUCGUUUACAAACAUGCUCAUGUGUCACUGUGAAUCUUAUAUUAGUCCGGCCAAAGGUCGAAUCAUUCCUUGUCCGCACAGCGUCAAUUUUACACACCCGGUGUAAUGUUUUUGAGUGUUUCUGUUUUUGAGUGUUUCCCCUCAUUGUUUGGGAACGCUCAAAAAUAGAUUGACGAGUUUUUCUGUGUAUCCCCCCUAUUGAAAAGUCAUGGUCUCUCUAGCUGCCUAUUGUUUGGAAACACAGAAACAUGGGGAACAACCACAGAUGUUACACCGGCUUUCGUACGAACGAAGCUAUCCUUAAACUUCAGUGUUACUGCCGAAUGUAUGUUCCGCUGGUUACAAUAAAGCAUCAUUCUUUACUUUGGCUAGACUCUCUGGGCAGUCCAUUGCACCAUCCUAAUUGAAUCUCGUUUAAGGGUGAGGAACGAGGCCGGUCCACUGCGUGCGGGGUGUAGCUUUGGCAGGCCUCGUGCAAGUUAUAUCGUUUUCCUCAAAUUGAGUUUCAAAUAAACACAGAAAUGGAAAGAGAGAAAAAUUCAUCAUGAUUACUUGUUGUUCCUAUGUGAAUAUUCACUUUUUCUAAAUCGCUAAACUCUAGACGGUUAAAAUCAGACAAAAACCUCAUUAUUGCAGUUAUCAACGCCGUUUUAUACACCAUGCUGUUUUAUAAAUCUUGAGUCAAUAGCCUUGUAAUAUAGCUGAACUGAUAGAAUAAACAUAUCAAAUGAA